CUUGACCGAGCCCAACCAGAGCGGCCGGUCGCGGUCCUGCCCGUAGGUGGCCAGCAGCGCCUGCGCCUC
rfam:Micromonospora humi strain DSM 45647 genome assembly, contig: Ga0070213_128